GUGUAGAUUCCUGAUGCCUCAGAGCAAAAUGAAUUGGGAAUAUGGCUUGUGCCUUUGAAAAAGGUCCUAGGUAUAUCCUGAUAGAAUACAAAAUAUACCAACAGUCACAAGGGAGCUAAAGAACUGUAUGAGAACCGAGGAAAAGGGUAGCUGCUCCAGUUUUCUUUGUUAGCUUGUUUCUGGGGCAUCAGGAAACAAAUAAAGAAGAAAAUAUUCAAAAUGGCUGCUGGGGCACAGCCAGAGUUUGCAGAAGAUUCAAGGGAAUGUGGAAAGCAGAAUUGGAGGAACGGAUUGUGAUCAGAGAACUUCAGCAUCAGACAAGCUUGGAGGAAAAAUAAUGAAGAGUUCCUCUGGGAGCAAGCCCAACCCAAAUGGAAUUCGAGGCACAAGAAGAGGAGGAGGAAGGGCUCAAAGGGAAAAGCGAUGCCUCAAUUUACACCUGAAGAGGAAUCAAUGGAACCAACAUGAAUGAGGGAGGAAUGAUUGUAGAGUCCCUGAAAGGGGUGAUAUCACAUGCAGCCUACACCGAUGCAACUGAGGUUGAAAUGUUGGUAGGUACAAACUAGACAUGGUUACCUUUUCCUCUAUGGCAUGGGAUGUGGUUUCCUUGCCUUACUAACAGUUCCAUGCUCCUUUGCAAUGGAUGAGAAGACAUGCAACCAAGACUGAGGCAUCUGAGAAUGGAGUGACCUUGGGGGCAUCCCAGGAUGGCUAUCUUCCUCAUCAGCUAUGGGUGGUUGCCUUGCUGAUGAACUGAAUUUGCUCCCUGAGUACAGAGACACCUCCCUUCAAGACAGCUGCAAUCCCUACAAGUAGCAUGCAUGUGACAUGAUUGUAAGAAAGUUGUGGUGGCUGUUGCAUGAUCUUUGCUAUAGACAAUAAAACAUGCAAUUUGAUUUCA